UACGGAGGGUGCAAGCGUUAAUCGGAAUUACUGGGCGUAAAGCGUGCGCAGGCGGUUUGUUAAGUCCGCUGUGAAAUCCCCGAGCUCAACUUGGGAAUUGCAGUGGAUACUGGCAGGCUGGAGUACGGUAGAGGAAGGUGGAAUUCCUGGUGUAGCGGUGAAAUGCGCAGAUAUCAGGAGGAACACCGGUGGCGAAGGCGGAUCUCUGGGCCAUUACUGACGCUGAGGAGCGAAAGCGUGGGGAGCGAACAGG
rnacentral:rRNA from 1 species